rnacentral:lncRNA from 1 species
AAAAAAAUUGAAAUCCUCUGAAAGAGGAGAAGAGAGGAGCCCUCCAGCUCAGGCCUCCGCCACUGGCCUGCACGCGCACACGCGCCGCCGUACACGGCCGUUGGAAGGCUAAAAGCCUUCGUUUUUCUUGGCGAAUCGCAGGUAAUCCCUUCUUCCUUUUAAACAUCAACAAUUUUUUUUUGCAAAAACGAUUCGUAUACACGUUGAACAAUAAAGAACAAAGUAUAAAAUUAAAUCACCUUUUUUUAAAAAAAACUGCUCGUAUCUCUUUGAAUAUAUCUGUGUAUCUGUUUUUUCUUUUUAUCUAAAAAAAAAGGGUCCCUUUUACAGAUUAGUGAAGAGGCUUUUAUAGCCUUUUGUGAAUCGUUACAUUUAGAAAGAAAUCUUUGAUUUCUUUUCCAUGUUUAUUUCUCUUUUCUGCUGUGGUUCUCUUCUUUUUGCAGGUACCAGCGAGGAAUCCGGCGAUGACGAUUCACUGGCGCGCUGAUUGAGGCGACGAUGGGGUACCGGUGGUGGGAUUGGCACGCCAAUUGUGGCGCGAGUUCAGGCCUGGUGUCGAGGUGCUUGCGGCGCCUAGGGCUUCAGAAACCCUAGGCCUUCUGUCUUCUGUUAACAAAUUGGGCCACUUGGGCCUUGUGUAUUUUGGGCAGCAUUUGGUCUAUAGUAUGGGCUUGGGUGUAAUUGGGCACUGGGUAAUUUAGGUAUUUGGGCUAUGUAAAUGGGCUAGCAGUUUUGGGCUUUGUAAAAGGACUGUAAAACGUUAUUAUUUUUAAUAAAUUUUUGUUUUUAUUUAUUUAUUCAUUUUACGGGCCCGGGUGAAUUUGAGCUAUUACAAAGUAUUUUUUAAAUAUGUUUUACUUAUUUUUCCAAAUUUUUUAAAAUAAUUUAUUUUAAUAUUUAAACCAAUAAUAUUGGUAGUUGAAUUGGUUGGAUUGAUUGAAUUGAAAACAGAUGAUUUAAUCGAUUCGAUUUUAAAAACAUUAAUAAAAAUUCAUGGAAGUAUGAUCUUCUCAUUUUAAGACAAGUAAAAGUAAUCCUCAAAGUAAACUUAAGGGAUACAAAAGUAAUCUAGCCAAAUUAAUUAAUUA